AUACUUACCUUGUACAGAAGCUACCGUGAUCAGCCAGGCGGUUAUUCCAGGAGGAUAUCCUUCCAUUGCCCUUCGGUUGGGUUGAAGCAUGCGAUUCACCCCUAAUGUGGGUAACUUGGGUACGCAUUUUUUUGUGUGGGGGUCUGCGUUCGCGCUAACCCCUG